GGGUUGUGAGGUUAAGCGACUAAGCGUACACGGUGGAUGCCCUGGCAGUCAGAGGCGAUGAAGGACGUGCUAAUCUGCGAAAAGCGUCGGUAAGGUGAUAUGAACCGUUAUAACCGGCGAUGUCCGAAUGGGGAAACCCAGUGCAAUUCGUUGCACUAUCGUUAACUGAAUACAUAGGUUAACGAGGCGAACCGGGGGAACUGAAACAUCUAAGUACCCCGAGGAAAAGAAAUCAACCGAGAUUCCCCCAGUAGCGGCGAGCGAACGGGGAGCAGCCCAGAGUCUGAAUCAGCUUGUGUGUUAGUGGAACGGUCUGGAAAGUCCGACGGUACAGGGUGAUAGUCCCGUACACCAAAAUGCACAGGCUGUGAACUCGAAGAGUAGGGCGGGACACGUGGUAUCCUGUCUGAAUAUGGGGGGACCAUCCUCCAAGGCUAAAUACUCCUGACUGACCGAUAGUGAACCAGUACCGUGAGGGAAAGGCGAAAAGAACCCCGGCGAGGGGAGUGAAAAAGAACCUGAAACCGUGUACGUACAAGCAGUGGGAGCACCUUCGGGUGUGACUGCGUACCUUUUGUAUAAUGGGUCAGCGACUUAUAUUCUGUAGCAAGGUUAACCGUAUAGGGGAGCCGCAGGGAAACCGAGUCUUAACUGGGCGUUAAGUUGCAGGGUAUAGACCCGAAACCCGGUGAUCUAGCCAUGGGCAGGUUGAAGGUUGGGUAACACUAACUGGAGGACCGAACCGACUAAUGUUGAAAAAUUAGCGGAUGACUUGUGGCUGGGGGUGAAAGGCCAAUCAAACCGGGAGAUAGCUGGUUCUCCCCGAAAGCUAUUUAGGUAGCGCCUCGUGAACUCAUCUUCGGGGGUAGAGCACUGUUUCGGCUAGGGGGUCAUCCCGACUUACCAACCCGAUGCAAACUACGAAUACCGAAGAAUGUUAUCACGGGAGACACACGGCGGGUGCUAACGUCCGUCGUGAAGAGGGAAACAACCCAGACCGCCAGCUAAGGUCCCAAAGUCAUGGUUAAGUGGGAAACGAUGUGGGAAGGCACAGACAGCCAGGAUGUUGGCUUAGAAGCAGCCAUCAUUUAAAGAAAGCGUAAUAGCUCACUGGUCGAGUCGGCCUGCGCGGAAGAUGUAACGGGGCUAAACCAUGCACCGAAGCUGCGGCAGCGACACUAUGUGUUGUUGGGUAGGGGAGCGUUCUGUAAGCCUGCGAAGGUGUGCUGUGAGGCAUGCUGGAGGUAUCAGAAGUGCGAAUGCUGACAUAAGUAACGAUAAAGCGGGUGAAAAGCCCGCUCGCCGGAAGACCAAGGGUUCCUGUCCAACGUUAAUCGGGGCAGGGUGAGUCGACCCCUAAGGCGAGGCCGAAAGGCGUAGUCGAUGGGAAACAGGUUAAUAUUCCUGUACUUGGUGUUACUGCGAAGGGGGGACGGAGAAGGCUAUGUUAGCCGGGCGACGGUUGUCCCGGUUUAAGCAUGUAGGCUGGUUGUCCAGGCAAAUCCGGAUAAUCAAGGCUGAGGUGUGAUGACGAGGCACUACGGUGCUGAAGUAACAAAUGCCCUGCUUCCAGGAAAAGCCUCUAAGCAUCAGGUAACAUCAAAUCGUACCCCAAACCGACACAGGUGGUCAGGUAGAGAAUACCAAGGCGCUUGAGAGAACUCGGGUGAAGGAACUAGGCAAAAUGGUGCCGUAACUUCGGGAGAAGGCACGCUGGUGUGUAGGUGAAGUCCCUGCGGAUGGAGCUGAGACCAGUCGAAGAUACCAGCUGGCUGCAACUGUUUAUUAAAAACACAGCACUGUGCAAACACGAAAGUGGACGUAUACGGUGUGACGCCUGCCCGGUGCCGGAAGGUUAAUUGAUGGGGUUAUCCGUAAGGAGAAGCUCUUGAUCGAAGCCCCGGUAAACGGCGGCCGUAACUAUAACGGUCCUAAGGUAGCGAAAUUCCUUGUCGGGUAAGUUCCGACCUGCACGAAUGGCGUAAUGAUGGCCAGGCUGUCUCCACCCGAGACUCAGUGAAAUUGAACUCGCUGUGAAGAUGCAGUGUACCCGCGGCAAGACGGAAAGACCCCGUGAACCUUUACUAUAGCUUGACACUGAACAUUGAGCCUUGAUGUGUAGGAUAGGUGGGAGGCUUUGAAGCGUGGACGCCAGUCUGCGUGGAGCCAACCUUGAAAUACCACCCUUUAAUGUUUGAUGUUCUAACGUUGGCCCCUGACCGGGGUUGCGGACAGUGUCUGGUGGGUAGUUUGACUGGGGCGGUCUCCUCCCAAAGCGUAACGGAGGAGCACGAAGGUUAGCUAAUCCUGGUCGGACAUCAGGAGGUUAGUGCAAUGGCAUAAGCUAGCUUGACUGCGAGCGUGACGGCGCGAGCAGGUGCGAAAGCAGGUCAUAGUGAUCCGGUGGUUCUGAAUGGAAGGGCCAUCGCUCAACGGAUAAAAGGUACUCCGGGGAUAACAGGCUGAUACCGCCCAAGAGUUCAUAUCGACGGCGGUGUUUGGCACCUCGAUGUCGGCUCAUCACAUCCUGGGGCUGAAGUAGGUCCCAAGGGUAUGGCUGUUCGCCAUUUAAAGUGGUACGCGAGCUGGGUUUAGAACGUCGUGAGACAGUUCGGUCCCUAUCUGCCGUGGGCGCUGGAGAAUUGAGGGGGGCUGCUCCUAGUACGAGAGGACCGGAGUGGACGCAUCACUGGUGUUCGGGUUGUCAUGCCAAUGGCACUGCCCGGUAGCUAAAUGCGGAAGAGAUAAGUGCUGAAAGCAUCUAAGCACGAAACUUGCCCCGAGAUGAGUUCUCCCUGAGACUUUAAGUCUCCUGAAGGAACGUU
rnacentral:rRNA from 1 species